CCUACGGGAGGCAGCAGUGGGGAAUCUUGCACAAUGGAGGAAACUCUGAUGCAGCGAUGCCGCGUGAGUGAAGAAGGCCUUUGGGUUGUAAAGCUCUUUUGUAGGGGAAGAUAAUGACUGUACCCUAAGAAUAAGGUCCGGCUAACUUCGUGCCAGCAGCCGCGGUAAUACGAAGGGACCUAGCGUAGUUCGGAAUUACUGGGCGUAAAGCGCGCGUAGGCCGUUGAGUUAGUUAAUUGUGAAACCCCAAAGCUUAACUUUGGAACUGCAAUUAAAACUGCUCGACUAGAGUUUGAUAGAGGAAAGCGGAAUACAUAGUGUAGAGGUGAAAUUCGUAGAUAUUAUGUAGAACACCAGUUGCGAAGGCGGCUUUCUGGAUCAACACUGACGCUGAGGCGCGAAAGUAUGGGUAGCAAAAGAGGAUUAGAUACCCUCGUAGUCCAUACCAUAAACGAUGAUUGCUAGAUGUUGGAAAUUUAUUUCAGUAUCGCAGCUAACGCAUUAAGCAAUCCGCCUGGGGAGUACGACCGCAAAGGUUAAAACUCAAAGAGUAGUAACGGACGUGUUAGAGUAGNGACGAGACGACGAGAGGAGGAG
rnacentral:rRNA from 1 species